ensembl:lncRNA
AACCAGGAAGAACUGCUUCCUGGGAGCAGGCGGGUGGCGCCGAGUCCUGAACAAAGGCGGCCGAGAAGGCACAGCAAUCACACGUGGUUGGCCACGGCACUGGACACACGUGUCCAUGCGUGAGCGUGGUGGGGUGCCAGCCUCAAUGUCAUCCCCAGUACCUGGCCUCGGAGAGGCUGAGCAGGGGGAAGAGCGGCUUCAGAAGCUCCUCCAGGGGCCCCAGAACGCUGCUGAGCCUCUGCACAGGGCGCUCCUUCUCUUCCACCUGCAGGCCUUCUGGCUCCUACCUCAAUCCAAAAAAGAGGCCCUCGUAGCAAACAGGGCACAUGGCCCAGACCCCGCGAGGGCCAGGCCCCUGAGGAAAGGCCGAGCUCCUGCCCCUUCUGCAAACAGCGUGGUGAACAAGGGCACCUGGCUCGGCAACGAGGGCCCCACGGCACUUGGCCCAUCCUCUGGAGGGUCACCCUGAGACCCCAGCCCCCACCCAUCUCCUCUGCCCGCACCAUGGAGGGUCCUGCCUGUGGGGACAGCUGGGCCCAGGUGACCCUGAGCUCUGCGGAGCAGAGUGGGCCGGGCCCCUCCUCUUUGUGCUUCAGGGAUCAGACAUGGCCAAGGAGCCCAAGGAGCGAGUUCUUCCCCCAUGUGGAGCUUGGCCUGGGAGUUGGGCAGUGCCCGGGUGUCGGGAUGGCCCAAGCCCUUCAGCAGCCUGGCCCAGUGCCCCGCCCCUCCCCCCACCUCACCGGGGUCCUGGCUCUCAGGGGUGGGGAGCAGAGGGUCCCGGCAGGGUGGCUUGGAGCCUGGAGGGCCUCACCGAGUCUGUGUUCAGGGCCAUGUCCUCGCUGUACACCUGGGCCUGGGUCUGCUUCCGGAACUGCUGGGCACAGGCCAGCAGGUGGGAGAAGGUGGUGGGACUCAUGGCCAGACGCAUCACCUUGCAGGAGCCUGCGGGGACAUGGACACACCCUCUGUCACUGCCCAGGGCUGAGGAUGGCAGCUGGACCGUGCGUGGCAGCGCCGUACAGACGGGACCUGCUGGCAGGACGCGGGCCGGGGUCGCAGGCAAGCCAUGAAGGGAACACACCUCACAGCCCAGCUCCAGCGACCUCAGAGGAGCCCAGUGAGGCCAACUCUGCAGACCAUGCACCCGUAGCAGGGCCCUCCCCGUGUGCGCCUCCAGGGGCACCGCUGGGUGUGCAUGGCCGGUCAGGGUGUGGAUUGAGAACACGCUGGGUCAUGCACCGGGCACUUGGCCACGGCCAGUGAGUUCUGUGGUCACUGCCAGAGGCACCGCCGGCUGGCUCCAGGCCAGGGGGAGCCGGAGAGGACAGCUGUCCUGCUCUCGGCUCCACCAUAACAGUGACCUUCAGGUCCGGACACCCAGACCAGACACAAAGACCCUGUACGGGAGACAGGUCACACGAAGGGGGAUCUCUGAACCACCCCCGCCCUUGGGGUACCUGGUGUCUGUCCAAGACCUUCUCGGGACUGGCCGGGCGUUUGCCGAGUCCCAGGCCUCCCUGGGGUGGGGCUGAGGUGUGGGCAGCCCACGGCUGGGUCUCUGCCUCCCUGAGGCCUCUCAGCAGGCUGGGGGCGGCCUCGACAAGAAGCAGCAGCUUUACCUGUCCCCUGAGAGGUGCAGAAAGAGGAUCCAAAAGGUCGGAGGCAUCUCAUUCAAGAGGUUAAAAUGCUGUUCAGUGACGCAGAGAUUUUGCCAAGCCUGUGUGGUGAAAAACGGCUAUCAGUGGACGCAUUUAGGACACAGGGACGUCGCUGUGCUGUUCCCCUCAUUUCCAGGAGACCUCGUGGCAGAGCCGCGGCGGGGGCUUUGUACCCUUCCUGCCCCAGGCUGGGCCCUUGGGGUCGGGGCCCUGCUGGAAGUGACUCGGGGCUGCCACCAGGGGGCAGCAGAGGCACGCAAGAGUCACCGGCGGCCCCAAAAUGUCACUUCUCUCCGGUUGUUAAUGUUUAGAAACCUGAUUUGCAUGACACAAAGUGCAUGUUCACCAAACCCAAAAUAAAAAAUGGAAAAUUCUCCAGCACCUCCUCCAUGAGUGGUGCCUUUCCCUCCAUCCUUCUGUAUCCUCCACACCACACAUGGAGACAUACAUGUACAGACACAUGGAUGCAUGCAGACAAACACGCAGACAGGCACGGACACACACAGACACACCACAGAUGCACACACGGAGACAGGCACAGACACACACACACACACCACAGAUGCACACACGGAGACAGGCACGGACACACACCACAGAUGCACACACG